AUCUGGGCGGCGGAAUUCAGGAUAGUCGGGCGGGCUUCGCGCUCGUCCGGCUGUUUGAUAUUUCCGUCGCCGUGUCAGACGUCGCGACCUGUUGGUCGUCGGUCCUUGCUCGGAGGAAUCGCGUUCGAGUUCGUUGCGGGUGCGUUUCGGCGUGUCUCGCGGCGAAGGCGCGUCUUUCUGGCCGACGACGGACAGUAGGCAACGGUGUCCGGCGUCGUUUCUCGACGUCGGUGCCGGUCAGCGACGAUUUCUUCGGGCCUCUUUCCGACCCGUCUUGAAACACGGACCAAGGAGUCUAACAUGCGCGCGAGUCGCGGGGUUUCGAGCGUGCCACGGUGCGCUCGUUACUUCCGAAACCCGUACGUUGAAGGCGUAAUGAAAGUGAACAGGGAAGAUGGCGUUCCGAGUCGACGUACCGUGAUCGAGUAUCGCGGCCGGACGCCCGCACUCCCGGGGCGUCUCAAUGGUUCGUCGCGGAUGCGGACGGUCGUCUUUCGGGGCGGCCGUCGGUCUGCGACGGUCCGA
rnacentral:rRNA from 1 species